AUGGCCAUAAAAAGUCCCCAUGUUCUCGUCGUGGAUGAUCCCAUACUGAUCGCCUUAAUUAUUGCAGCAACGGUCCUAAUCUAGUUCAACAUUCGAGUGGCUAUUUUGGAAGGAGCCAUGCAGGCCUUGAAAUACUUGGAUGAGGAACAUGAUGUGGACUUAAUUUUCACGAACUACAGCAUGCCAGAUAUGUCUGGUUAUGAUUUUGUUAAGGUAGUGAAGGAAUCACCUAGACUUAAGAACAUUCCAGUGGUCAUUAUAUGCACAGAUGUCAUCCCUGAAAGAAUCAUCAAGUGCUUGGAUGGAGGAGCAGGGGAUUGCAUUAUAAAGCCUCUCAAGGUUGAAGAUGUGCCUCACAUUUUAAGCUACACGUAA
rnacentral:rRNA from 1 species